ACAACAACAGGUGGUGAACAGACAGAUCAUGAAAUGGUUGGACUGUGAAGCCACUCAGACAUCCAAGAAUCAACAGAACUGUACACAGUCACCUGGGCAAGAAAACCCACAGUGAGGCUGGGAGCCAAAGACUGGCCCCCCCUCUUGGCCCACAACCUCCCAUCAGUCACCAGGUUCUUAAGAUGGUGUAUCUACAAACCACUCCAGGUUCAGAUUUCAGCCUCCUCAGAGCAAACUCCAGAACCAGAUGCUUUAUUACCAGACUGUGCAGAGUCCCUCAUCAUGUUAAAGUCGGAGGCCCCCAGUGUUCCCAGUUUGCCACCUGACCGGCACCAACAGACCACAGCCCCACACAAGGCGACGGCUUAAUGAGAGCUGUUUUUAGCAGGGACGGGACAUCAACACUGAUCUAAUCACUAAAACAUGAGAUCAGUGCUGUGACCCAAUCACAAAACAGGACACAGGCGUGUAUCCCAGCAUGCUCGGCCAGUGUGUGUCCGUGCAUCACAAGCGAGGUCGGAUCCAAAGGGGACCGGAGCUAAAGACACGCAACAGUUCGGGUUGUCGGAGGGUAAAGUGGGUCAAAACAUAAGCACGAUCAAAUGUCCCCACAUGACACACAGAGCUGUGAUCACACGCCUGGUGCAGAAGCUGCAGAAGGAACACGGAUCUAAACUCAGCCGGAACUGAACGAGCGGUUUCCAACAUGAGGCUCGGGGCUCUGAACGGGCCCAAGUGAGGAGUCUCAAGUAGGAAAGGACGAAGAAUAGUUUCCAUUGACAAAUUCCAGAUUGUUACCAUACGAUGAUUGAAAUGAGGUGAUCUAACCGGCAUGUAUGAAGCACUGAAGCGAAGAUUUUGUUUGUUUGUGGUUCGCAUAUCUCGAGAACCCGUCACUCGAUCUACUUCACACUCGGCAGGUUUGUUGCCGAGGUCAUUCGGAAGUGCAGCGUCGAAUUUGGUGCAAUUUGAACAUGUGAAACGCUCGAUAUUAAAACAUCUCGAAUAAACACCGCUCUGGCUUCGUGGCUGUGCAGAUUGAUGCAGGGCUCACAUAUGAUCCCUCUCACGUGAUCUCAGGAUGAAGAAGCAGGCAUGAAUAAAAUGGAGAUUAGCGCGGUGCAACACCACGCUGUGGCAGAGGGUUUAACGAGUCUGGAUGAGCGGGGAGACGCCGUCAACACAGGUUUUCUGAUCUUCAGCGAGAACCGGAGGAGGCCUGCAGAGUUAAGAGCCUCCAACAUAAGCUGUGGCAGCAGGGGGCAACACUGACAGAUCUGCCCUCUCUGGUGAGCUCCAGCUGAUUUCCAUUAUCACGACUGUACUGCCAUCUUCUGGUUCAAGCAGGACAAUGACAAAUACUGGAGAGAAUCACUAGACCUGCUGUGUGGCCUCAAAAACAAAGUAUGCGCUUCGUAAGGUCACAACAAAAUGUUGAAUAUCGUCAGAGAGAAAAACUCAAGAGGAUGUUUAUGCCAGCGGUAGAAAGUUUAGGUUUGUGUUAUUUUCUUGAAGAGUGUCUCAGAUUUGUCUCCAUUAUCUAAUUUAAUUUAAUCAGGGACGAGGAACAGACUUUCAGACUCUUCUCCAAAAAUAGUCAUUCAAACAAUAAUUGACAGUUCACAUUUUAAUCAGUGUUACUUUCAGUUUAUGAUAUUGAUUUUACCUAUGUCUUAAAUUAUGACUAACAUCAGAAGGUCACAUGUUCACUUCCCCUGGUAAGAUAUUAAACCCCAAACUGUGCUGGUCAGCAUCUUGCAUUAACAUGAAUGUAUGAAUAACUAUAUCUUGCUCUAAUUUAAGUUGCUGAAAAAGGUCUUGCUUUUUGAGUUUACUCACCACAUGUCUUGUAUCUCAAGGACACUGACAUGCAGAUGGAGGGAGCAAGAUUUGAACCAGCAACCCUCUGAUUAUUAGACGACCACGCUACCUCCUGAGCUACAGCUGCCAUGAAAGAGUCUGUUAAUGAUAAUAAAUAACCUCCAGGUCUCAUAAAACAAUGAAACAUAGCCACUGUCCCAUUAUGAUUUCCAACAGCUCUGUGUGACGUCUGUAAUUGUACAGUUUGACCGACAGUCCAGAACCGGCAAAAUCAAACUUUCUAUUGAGAUUAUAAUGCAGAAAAAGAGCUUGGAGUCAUUUAUAAUUGUUGCAAUUCCUGGUGAAGUUUUCAGCUUCAGUUCACUGGUGUCAAUAAAGUUUAUUGUUAAAAUAACUUCCCUCCAUAACAUGACUGUCAACUGUGUUUAGCAACUCAAUU